CACACGACUCUCGGCRACGGAUAUCUCGGCUCUCGCAUCGAUGAAGAACGUAGCGAAAUGCGAUACCUGGUGUGAAUUGCAGAAUCCCGCGAACCAUCGAGUCUUUGAACGCAAGUUGCGCCCGAGGCCACUCGGCCGAGGGCACGCCUGCCUGGGCGUCACGC
rnacentral:rRNA from 1 species